CGAGAUUGCAGCCUCUGCCCGGCCGCCACCCCCUCUGGGAGGUGAGGGGCGUCUCUGCCUGGCCGCCCAUUGUCUGGGAUGUGGGGAGCCCCUCUGCCCGGCUGCCCGGUCUGGGAAGUGAGGAGCGUCUCUGCCCGGCCGCCAUCCCAUCUAGGAAGUGAGGAGCGCCUCUGCCUGGCAGCCCAUCGUCUGAGACGUGGGGAGUGCCUCUGCCCCGCCGCCCCGUCUGGGAUGUGAGGAGCGCCUCUGCCUGGCCGCGACCCCGUCUGGGAGGUGAGGAGCGUCUCUGCCCGGCCGCCCCGUCUGAGAAGUGAGGAGCCCCUCCGCCCGGCAGCUGCCCCGUCUGAGAAGUGAGGAGCCCCUCCACCUGGCAGCCACCCCGUCUGGGAGCAAAGUCCUCUUCUGGGGUCUUCCUAGGCCUCACAAAGCUGCUCCCCAGGCCUUGGCCAACCACCUUCCCUGGAGCAGGCUCUCGGUGAGAAAACCUCAUGGAGAGAAGAGGCCAGGAGUCCAUGGCCACUCCUGUUUACUUUCCCAUUCCCAUCCUGCAUGUUCCUGCCUCCUGCCUGAGUGAACACAGAUUGACAUGCCCUCUGUGAAUGGCUGCAGACCCUUGUUCCAGUUCAGCUCUGUCCAGCACCUGUCAUAUGUAUUACCUGAAAGAAAAACCUGAGAUCAGCAGAAGAUCCUCAGAGCAGACAAAAAUUUUUCUUAAAAACAACAAGACAAGUGAAAAACAGGACAAGGGUGGGGACAGGACAACAGCAGGCUGCACCCAGAGAGUGCACCCAGGUCAUCGGCUGUUCUUCAUUUCUGACUUCCUGCUGGCUGUCCUGUGAGGUUGAGGUUACGUGGUUAGAGAAAGCCGGUUACUUGUUUCAAAACAAACAAAGUCCUCAAAUCCUUUGAACAGCUAAAGGAAUAGAGCACUCCUUGAAUAUGUAUUCUUUCAUAUCCUCUGAACAGAUCUUUAUUUACAAGGAAGGCUGGUCUUGGCUGGAAAAAUGGUAGUCAGAUGUAGAUCAAAAUGAUAAUCUCAGAACACAGCACCAAGUGUCUUUUGCAUGGGCCAUGGGACUUAAUGUCUUGAUAGAACAGAGGAUGUCAAGGAGAAAAAACUGAAGGCCACAAGAAAAUGUGAAUUUUUUAAAUAGUUUACUCUGGUUGGAGGUUUGCCAUAUUCCUGACUCAACUUUAUAAUGUUUCCCAUUUCUAAGCCAAAUGGCUCAGAAGUGUGGCUGGGGUGUGACCUUGACCAGGUACAACCAUGGCAAUGAGUCUCUAUUCUUUUUACUUUGGAAUCCAACCAACACGUUAAAGCUCUUUGAAUGUGGGUAUCAUAUGAGUCAGUGCAUGUGUGCUGACUGCCUGCUGUCCUCAUAACACAAAGUGGAGUGGGGGCUAUGGAGGCUACUGGAUUAUUUCCGUCAGUGUAUACAGCAAAACUAAAUUAAUCCCCAAGUUUAGGCUUUUUGACCUCGAGUAUCAAGACUAGUUUACUUGCAUUGUGCAAAUUAGUCACCAACCUACUUUGUAUUAUAGAGAGUUUUAAACUUUUGUGUAUUUCUCCAGAUUUGCAUCAAUGAGAUUUUUGAAGUCAGCUUUUAAAAUAAAU
rnacentral:lncRNA from 10 species